UGUAGGAGUGAGCCUGCUCGCGAUGACGGUGUGUCAGAUAGAUAUUUGUCAACUGACACACCGUCAUCGCGAGCAGGCUCACUCCUACA
rnacentral:misc_RNA from 1 species